rnacentral:rRNA from 1 species
UCCGGUGAAUACGUUCCCGGACCUUGUACACACCGCCCGUCAAGCCAUGGAAGCCGGGUGUACCUAAAGUCGGUAACCGCAAGGAGCCGCCUAGGGUAAAACUAGUGACUGGGGCU